rnacentral:rRNA from 1 species
UAGGGAAUCUUCCGCAAUGGGCGAAAGCCUGACGGAGCAACGCCGCGUGAGUGAAGAAGGUCUUCGGAUCGUAAAACUCUGUUAUUAGGGAAGAACAAAUGUGUAAGUAACUAUGCACGUCUUGACGGUACCUAAUCAGAAAGCCACGGCUAACUACGUGCCAGCAGCCGCGGUAAUACGUAGGUGGCAAGCGUUAUCCGGAAUUAUUGGGCGUAAAGCGCGCGUAGGCGGUUUUUUAAGUCUGAUGUGAAAGCCCACGGCUCAACCGUGGAGGGUCAUUGGAAACUGGAAAACUUGAGUGCAGAAGAGGAAAGUGGAAUUCCAUGUGUAGCGGUGAAAUGCGCAGAGAUAUGGAGGAACACCAGUGGCGAAGGCGACUUUAUGGUCUGUAACUGACGCUGAUGUGCGAAAGCGUGGGGAUCAAACAGG